UACGGAGGAUGCGAGCGUUAUCCGGAUUCACUGGGUUUAAAGGGUGAGUAGGCGGGUUGGUAAGUCAGUGGUGAAAUACUGUCGCUUAACGACAGGGGUGCCAUUGAUACUGCUGAUCUUGAGUUCAGUUGAGGCAGGCGGAAUGUGCAGUGUAGCGGUGAAAUGCUUAGAUAUUGCACAGAACACCGAUUGCGGAGGCAGCUUGCUAAGCUGAAACUGACGCUGAGUCACGAAAGCGUGGGGAUCAAACAGGAUUAGAUACCCUGGUAGUCCACGCUGUAAACGAUGAUAACUCGUUGUUGGCGAUACACAGCCAGCGGCUGAGCGAAAGCAUUAAGUUAUCCACCUGGGGAGUACGAUGGCAACAUUGAA
rnacentral:rRNA from 1 species